CAUUCCCUUGCAGCACAACAUUAUUAGCUCCUACCAUGUUCCUCUCCUGAAAACUUGCCUCGUCUCUGCGCCGGCUCCUACAACUCUGCUUCUCACUUCACCAUCUGUGUGUUCAUCCAUUCUUAUGCUCAUUGGUUGUUUCUACCUCUGAUCCGGAAUACUUUCAAUUGCUCGUCCAUCGAUUAUUCAGAUUUUUCAUCCGUCACUGUGUCAAGAAACAAUUCCAGUGCUAUCUUCAUUUAUUCAGACCAAAAAAUAAACCCCGCAACCUAAUGGAAGUGGCGUUAGCUAGCACUGCGUUAAGCGUUAGCUUAAAAUUGGCCGCAUCACCGGUCUUGAAGAAGCUUCUUACUGAUGCUUCAUUGUAUCUUGGAGUGGACAUGGCGCGUGAGCUCCAUGAACUGGAGACCACUAUUUUGCCACAGUUCGAGCUCGUGAUUGAAGCAGCAGACAAGGAAAACCAUAGACCCAAGUUGGACAAAUGGCUCCAGGAACUCAAAGAAGCAUUCUAUCUGGCCGAAGACUUGCUGGAUGACCAUGAGUACAACCUCCUCAAGCUCAGAGCAAAGGGGAAAGAUUCCUAGCUGGCCAAUGCCUCCUCAAUCAGCAACACUUUGAUGAAGCCUCUGCGUGCUGCAUCAAGCAGGCUCUCCAAUCUGAGCUCUGAGAACAGAAAGCUACUUCACCACCUGAAUGAACUAAAGGCUACCCUGGCGAAAGCCAAGGACUUCCGUCAACUUCUCUGCUUACCAGUUGGUUAUAGUGCAGAGAGCUCCAGCAUAUCAUCAACUAUUGUUCCUGAGACUACAUCACUGCCACCUUUGAAGGUGAUUGGUCGUGGCGAGGACCGCGAUCAUAUAAUAGAGUGUCUUACCAGGACAACUGUUGUUGAGUCUAGCACAGCUAUGUACUCAGGUUUGGCGAUUGUUGGAGUUGGUGGCAUGGGAAAAUCCACCUUGGCACAACUUGUUUACAAUGAUAAGAGGGUAAAAGAAUAUUUUGAUGUGACAAUCUGGAUAAGUAUCUCACGCAAACUUGAUGUCCGCCGUCAUACACGGGAGAUCAUCGAGUCUGCCUCACAAGGGGAAUGCCCACGCAUUGAGAACCUUGAUACUCUGCAACGCAUGUUGAGAGACAUUAUGCAAAAAUCUGGGAAAUUCCUCCUUGUGUUGGAUGAUGUUUGGUUUGAACCUGACAGAGAGAGGGAAUGGG